GAUGAACGCUGGCGGCGUGCCUAAUACAUGCAAGUAGAACGCUGAAGCUUGGUGCUUGCACCGAGCGGAUGAGUUGCAAACGGGUGAGUAACGCGUAGGUAACCUGCCUCUUAGCGGGGGAUAACUAUUGGAAACGAUAGCUAAUACCGCAUAAAAGUUGACAUUGCAUGAUGUUGAUUUGAAAGAUGCAAUUGCAUCACUAAGAGAUGGACCUGCGUUGUAUUAGCUAGUUGGUGAAGUAACGGCUCACCAAGGCGACGAUACAUAGCCGACCUGAGAGGGUGAUCGGCCACACUGGGACUGAGACACGGCCCAGACUCCUACGGGAGGCAGCAGUAGGGAAUCUUCGGCAAUGGACGGAAGUCUGACCGAGCAACGCCGCGUGAGUGAAGAAGGUUUUCGGAUCGUAAAGCUCUGUUGUAAGAGAAGAAAGAGUGUGAGAGUGGAAAGUUCACACUGUGACGGUAACUUAACAGAAAGGGACGGCUAACUACGUG
rnacentral:rRNA from 1 species